CGGCGCGCAGGGCUCUCCUCCUCAAGGCGGGCGACCACACUCUUCUCUGUUUGCCGGGAUAUGGCCACCCGCCGCAUCAC
rnacentral:ribozyme from 1 species